rnacentral:rRNA from 1 species
CAGCAGCCGCGGUAAUACGGAGGGUGCAAGCGUUAAUCGGAAUUACUGGGCGUAAAGCGUGCGUAGGCGGUUCGUUAAGUCUGUUGUGAAAGCCCCGGGCUCAACCUGGGAAUGGCAAUGGAUACUGGCGAGCUAGAGUGUGUCAGAGGAUGGUGGAAUUCCCGGUGUAGCGGUGAAAUGCGUAGAGAUCGGGAGCAACAUCAGUGGCGAAGGCGGCCAUCUGGGACAACACUGACGCUGAGGCACGAAAGCGUGGGGAGCAAACAGGAUUAGAUACCCGCGUAGUCCCUGUCUCUUAUAC